rnacentral:rRNA from 1 species
GGAGGAUCCAAGCGUUAGUCCGGAUUUAUUGGGUUUAAAGGGUGCGUAGGCGGCCUGUUAAGUCAGGGGUGAAAGACGGUAGCUCAACUAUCGCAGUGCCCUUGAUACUGAUGGGCUUGAAUGUACUAGAGGUAGGCGGAAUGUGACAAGUAGCGGUGAAAUGCAUAGAUAUGUCACAGAACACCAAUUGCGAAGGCAGCUUACUAUGGUAUGAUUGACGCUGAGGCACGAAAGCGUGGGGAUCAAACAGGAUUAGAUACCCUGGUAGUCCACGCCCUAAACGAUGAAUACUCGAUGUUAGCGAUAUACAGUUAGCGUCAAAGCGAAAGCGUUAAGUAUUCCACCUGGGGAGUACGCCCGCAAGGUG